UAUUAUUUUAGAUGUAAAUUAUUAUAACUUAAGUAGUAUUAGUUAUGGCCUUGAAACUUAAAGAAUUUGGCGGUAUUUUAGUCUAUUUAGAGGAAUCUGUCCCUUAAUUGAUAAUCCACAUUGUACCUUACCAAAUUUAUGUAUGUAUACCGCCGUUAUAAUGAUAAUCUUUUUAGGGUUAUAAAGAAUUUUCUAGAUUUAUUUUUAUAUUUUAUUUCAGGUCAAGGUGCAGUUUAUAAUUUGGUGGAGAUGGAUUACAUUUAUUUUUAGUUAUUGAAUUAUUUUUUGAAAUAAAAUUAUGAAAUUGGAUUUAAUUGUAAUUUUUUGUAGAUUGUAAAUGUGAUUUUAGCUCUAUAAUAUGUACACAUCGCCCGUCGCUCUCAUUAAUUAAUU
rnacentral:rRNA from 1 species